UGGUUCCCUUGGUUUCGAAUUGCAUACUUUUUCCUGUGGACUGCUGUUUAUGUACAUUUUAAAAUGGAUCGUCCAUGCCUGCGUUUCGCUUUGGUGGCCAUACCCUUUUCUUGAUUUGUCAUCUACAUUUGCUCCACUAUGAUGGUUUUAGACAUACAAAUGUGGAUAUGAUUUUUUUUGACAAGUACGGAAGGGCAUUGUUUUUAUACGUCUACCCGUAUAUAUGGUGGUUUGUACAAAUUACUUUUUUGGUGUAGUAAAUAUAAGCUAAUUUGGCAUGGUAGAAAUUAGCAUAUAUGCUAAUUUAGGUUGUGGUACAUAUGUCCUUUUUGUUAAUUAAUUUGGUUAGUCCUGUAUUAUGUAUGAAAUGAAAUUAUUGACGUUGGAUUAGACUUGGUUCGUAUGAAAUUUGUAUUAUAUAUAGAAUUGGACGUUCAAUAUUAAUGUUUUGGAUGGUUGGAGCUAAAAUGUGUGCACAUUGUUGAAUGCUUGAAUGGUUGAUAAUAUAUUUAGCGUU